AGAGUGUAUAGUGAAUUUAAGUAAUAUUCUUAACCGACCUGAAAUUCAGAGAGCGUUUAUAUUUUGAAAUGAUUUAUCUCUUUGAGGUAAAUGCACUUCUUUAUUAAUGGUGUGAAUAAAUAAUUUACUGAAUAAUAUAGAAUAAAUGUAGUGAAAUCCAAGGCUGACUUUGAUGCGUUUCAGCAACUAGACAAUGACAUAAUUAAUGCUGUGCUAGAAUCCAAUAGACCAGAAGAAAUGUAAUAAAAUGAAAUUAUGCAAGCCCAUGAGUCCAAGACUACAUUUUACAUUGUAGUGCUGUGUACAAGUGGACUGCGCUGCUUCAGUUGGAAUUUCACACCAUCCAGAUCCAGGAAUAUAAUCCUGUACACGAUUCCUAACUCUUUGUUGUUGUGACUUCUUUAUCCCCUAGAUACUGUGUUGGAAGUUAACCAACGACCACAGGUAGCGGAUACACAGGUACUACCUAUACCAACACCCUGGAGGUCUUUAUGAAGAAACAAACUGAGGCAAUACAUUGAUGACGUCAAUGAACACAUAACGAGAAACGACUUACGGUCGAAUAUUUAUUUAAGUUACAGUAGUGGAAAACGAAAUUGUGUGUGCUGAUAUCAGUUGAAAACUUAACCAGUAAAAUGAACCUAACCCUGUCAUGACGCCAUCAGUCGUGGAUCACUAUUACCGGCUAGUUUCUCGUACUAAUUUAAUACCUCAAUUAUGUUUUGUAUUUUUAGAUUUAAUCCAGAUAGGAAAAAACUAAGAUUAAUAUGUUUAAAUAUAAAAAUCUAGUACAGAUCCUACAACAUUGUCUAGUUUAAUC
rnacentral:lncRNA from 1 species